GAGUCGGACCUGCCCGGACCCGUAGGCGAUGUAGCCUGGAGGAGGAAAGCAAAAUUUGAAUCUUCUUCUCUUAAUCACAUUAUUUGUUCACUGUUCCAGAAAAUACAUGCAUAGAGAAACCAAAUACCACAUUAAUGCGACAAACCCGACAUAUGUUUUUCUCUCACGAUCAAAACCCCGGCAACGUUUAAAAGGUCACUUCGCAAAAGCUAGAAAGCAUCGUCUCCAUGGCUACAGCUCAUCUCAUGAUCAAGGCUCUUCUGGAUAUUUGUGAAAAUUGCCUUGGGGGGUUAGAGGCUGAUUCCAGCAUCAGAUCACCUUGAAUCCAGAGACCUUCACAAAUACGUCAUCAUCAUCCUCCCCGGCCUUCCUGUAACCUCUGAACGCACGCCGCAUAGUGAUGCGAGGUGGCUGCCAAACGGGACGGUAAACGCGAUGACCCUCGCCUUCACCUUUUCUCAAUCGCACCCGAGCGUCUGGCGCUGCUGUGCGAGACAGAAAA